rnacentral:rRNA from 1 species
AGUGAACGCUGGCGGUAGGCCUAACACAUGCAAGUCGAACGGCGGCACAGUAAGAGCUUGCUCUUACGGGUGGCGAGUGGCGGACGGGUGAGGAAUACAUCGGAAUCUACUUUUUCGUGGGGGAUAACGUAGGGAAACUUACGCUAAUACCGCAUACGACCUACGGGUGAAAGCAGGGGAUCUUCGGACCUUGCGCGAUUGAAUGAGCCGAUGUCGGAUUAGCUAGUUGGCGGGGUAAAGGCCCACCAAGGCGACGAUCCGUAGCUGGUCUGAGAGGAUGAUCAGCCACACUGGAACUGAGACACGGUCCAGACUCCUACGGGAGGCAGCAGUGGGGAAUAUUGGACAAUGGGCGCAAGCCUGAUCCAGCCAUAUCGCGUGGGUGAAGAAGGCCUUCGGGUUGUAAAGCCCUUUUGUUGGGAAAGAAAAGCAGCAGGUUAAUACCCCGCUGUUCUGACGGUACCCAAAGAAUAAGCACCGGCUAACUUCGUG